AGUAGAGAGUGGGCUACGGGAGGAGGAGGAGGAGGAGGAGCCUGCGGUGUUCACACAGUAGAGAGUGGGCUACGGGAGAAGUAAGAGGGGGAGGAGCCUGUGGUGUUCACACAGUAGAGAGUGGGCUAUGGGAGGAGGAGGAGGAGGAGGGGCCUGUGGUGUUCACACAGUAGAGAGUGGGCUAUGGGAGGAGGAAGAGGAGGAGGGGCCUGUGGUGUUCACACAGUAGAGAGUAGGCUAUGCGGGGAAGAGCAGGAGGAGCCUGUUGGUGUUCACACCAGUAGAGAUGGGUGGGCUUAGGCGAGGCGGAGGCGGAGGAGGAGGAGGGAGGAGCCCUGUGGUCAUUUUCACACAGUAGAGGUGGGCUAUGGCGCAGGGAGGAGGAAGGAGAGAGUAGGAGCCUGUGGGUGCUUGCAACCAGUAGAGAGUGGGCUAUGGGAGGAGGAAGGAGGAGGAGGGGCCUUGUUAGGUGUUUCACACAGUAGAGAGUGGGUAUAGGGAGGCGCGAGGAGGAAGGGGAGGCCUGUGGUGUUCCACAAACAGAUAGAGAGUGGGCUAUGGGAUGGAGGUAGAGAAGGGAGGAGGAGGAGGAGGAGCCUGUGGUGUUCACAUAGUAGACGAGUUGGGUUAUGGGUGAGGAGCGAGAAGGGACGGAUGGAGCUGCGGUGUGUCACAUAGUAGAAGCAGUGGGUUAUGGGAGGAGGAGGAGGAGGAGCCAGCGGUGUUCACAGAGUAGAGAGUGGGCUAUGGGAGGAGGAAGAGGAGGAGGAGCCUGUGGUGUUCACACAGUAGUGAGUGGGCUAUGGGAGGAGGAGGAGGAGGAGGGGACUGUGGUGUUCACACAGUAGAGAGUGGGCUA
rnacentral:lncRNA from 1 species